UACGAAGGGGGCUAGCGUUGCUCGGAAUUACUGGGCGUAAAGCGCGCGUAGGCGGCAGCGCAAGUCGGGCGUGAAAUCCCACGGCUCAACCGUGGAAGUGCACUCGAAACUGCGCAGCUAGAGUCCUGGAGAGGAAGGUGGAAUGCUUGGUGUAGAGGUGAAAUUCGUAGAUAUCAAGCGGAACACCGGUGGCGAAGGCGGCCUUCUGGACAGUGACUGACGCUGAGACGCGAAAGCGUGGGGAGCGAACAGG
rnacentral:rRNA from 1 species